CUAUCCAAGUCUUAAUUCUUGCUAGCUUCACGCAACAAUUAGCAAGUGAAAACCGACGCCGUUUAGCCGUUUCAAGAAGUCCAAAUCGCAUCAUCUCUCUGAGAAUUAGGGCUUUAAAUGUCAGCAACUCUCUCUGUCUCUUACUUCCUCCGUUUCUCGCAGAUUCUUUGUGGUUGACUGUUCGCAUAGCAUUUCAGGUAUGCUCUUCAAAGCCAAUACUUUAUUAUUUUACCUACAAAAACUUCACACAAGCCCUGGCAUCACUCGCCAAAUCAGACCCAUUUCAAGCCUCAAAGUCGUGUGGCGAAAAGACCGGAAACUAGACCAAGCCAUAGAGAAUGACAAGCAAAACAAGCUCUGUUCCCGGGUGGUCAAGGAGGUCUUAAAUGAACCGGGUCAAGCCAUCCCGCGUCGUUACCUCGAAAAACGCCGCGAAAGAUUACACCUUAACGUCAAAAUCAAGACCUUUCUAAAUCAUUACCCGGGUCUCUUUGACACUUACUAUGAUCGGAUUAAACCCAAAACCGGCCCGGUUUUGUUUUUGCGUCCCAGUGAGAAGCUAAGAGAUUUCCUUGAAGUGGAAAGAAAAAUAUAUAAUCAACAUGAGGAGUUGAUUGUAGCUAAGUUAUGUAAAUUGUUGAUGAUGUCUAAAGAUAAAGUAAUUAGUGUUGAUAAAUUGGUUCAUGUGAAAAGAGAAUUUGGGUUUCCAAGCGAUUUUUUGGUAAAUUUAGUGCCGAAAUAUUCUAAUUAUUUCAAGUUGGUUGGGUGUCCUGGAGAAGAAAAAUCGUUCUUAGAGUUGGAAUCUUGGAAUCCCGAGUAUGCAAAAUCUGUUAUUCAGCUUAGAGCUGAAGAGGAAGCUAAAGUAACUGGGAUUCGUGUUAGACCUAACUUCAAUGUGAAAUUGCCUUCAGGGUUUUACUUGAGGAAGGAAAUGAGAGAAUGGACUAGAGAUUGGUUGGAGCUGGAUUAUAUAUCUCCUUAUGAGGAUGUAUCGAGUUUAGAACAGUCGUCAAGAGAAAUGGAGAAAAGAACCGUUGGGGUUUUUCAUGAGUUGUUGUCUCUAUCGAUUUUCAAGAGAGUUCCCGUGGCUAUAUUGGGGAAGUUUAGCGAUGACUAUAGGUUUUCCAAUGCAUUUUCAUCUGUGUUCACUAGGCACUCAGGAAUCUUUUAUAUGUCUUUGAAAGGUAACAUUAAGACUGCAGUGCUGAGGGAGGCCUAUAAGGAUAGUGAGUUGAUUGAUAGGGAUCCGUUACUUGAGAUUAAAGAUAGGUUUGUUCAGUUGUUGAAGGAAGGCAGGCAGGAGAGAGCAAAACAGUUGAGGGUGCAGAGAGAGGAGCUUAAGAAGGACAUGGAGAUGAUGGCCCUAAGAAUGAGAACAAGUAGGAAUUGUGGGUGUAAUGAGCAGAUGUGAAUCUGAAAGGUCAAAGGGAAUAAGAUGGUAAUGUCUCACAGUGUAAAACCUCAUAACAGAUUUUGAUUUGAGCGCUUCCCGUGGAGAUCAAGUAUACCGGAUGCUUGUUCAAUUUAUAGGUUCCUGCUAAGUUCUGGAUGUAUAUCGGAUAUCUUGAAGUGGAUCCCUGCCUGUGCUAUCAUUCACGGAUUGGUUUGUCUCACAUGCAGUGAUUGGGCCAAAACCUUUUCCAUGUAUGCAAACACCAUUUGGAGUCAUAUUUUUAGUAGCUGUGACAAGUGAAGCAGAUCAUUUACAUGGUUAAAAGUUGAAUCUAGGAGAGGAAAUGGCUUGGAUAGUUUGAUAACAAAUAAUAUGGUUUGAUUUCUUCAAUGAAAUUAUUAUUUUGAUUUCA